rnacentral:tRNA from 1 species
AAUGGCUGAGUAAGCAUUAGACUGUAAAUCUAAAGACAGAGGUUUAAUUCCAUUUU